UCAUCCAGGCCCGUGUUUUCUUUGCUCCCCUGUACUCAGUUGUAACGGGGGAGUCCGCAGGACACAGCGAUCCCCCUCUCAGUUUAGGGGGGCCGUCCUGACUAUAGGACUGGCUCCUAAAGGCACGAGGGGACAAU